GAGCCUCGGAAGAAGGUUGCAGCUCAGCAGUUUUCCCACAAUGACUGGGAUGAAGUGAGAUAAACCUGGGGCCUUGGUUGAAGCUCUUGAAGACCAGAAGAGCAGGCUCUUCCUGGUACACAGUCAUUUCCAAGAGCAGUGACCACAAUGAUGUUAACGGGCUUCCAGAGAUGACCUGUGCUCCUUUGGAACUGGAAUGUUUCUGUGUUUUGGAAUCUGUCUAUGGAAAUCAGCUGACUCCUCCAGACCAAUUCAGAUCUAGAUAAAAAAAAGCUUGAAACCUUACUGCCCAGGUAACAGUGCCCCCCGGAGAGACUUCCAUGGCUGUAAAUGGACAUCUCUCUCCUUUUUCACUGCUACACUGGACUACACAGCCCUUGAAGUUGUCUGAAGCUUAUUCCAUACCACAAUUUCCCGGAACCAGAAUUCCCUGUUUCUUGCUCAUAAGUAUCUGUCUGCAGCCUUUACACUUGAAGGUCAGCACAGCUGGAUAUAAAGCUUGUGGCUCCCAGUCUUUUCUUGAUAUAUUGAAUAUGUUUGCCCAUGUCUUCUAGAAUA